rnacentral:rRNA from 1 species
UACGUAGGUGGCAAGCGUUGUCCGGAUUUACUGGGCGUAAAGAGCGCGCAGGCGGUCGUUCAAGUCGCGUGUGAAAGCCCCCGGCUCAACUGGGGAGGGUCACGCGAUACUGAUCGACUCGAAGGCAGGAGAGGGUAGUGGAAUUCCCGGUGUAGUGGUGAAAUGCGUAGAUAUCGGGAAGGAACACCAGUGGCGAAGGCGACUGACCUGCCUGUUCUU